AGGAUAUAUAUAAUUCUCCCUUUACCUAUUCAAAUGACAGAAUACUACAUACACUUUUCUUUCUAUACUUUGCUUUUCUUUCAGUGCAACAAUAUAUCUUGGAGAUUAUUCUGCAGAACAUCAAGAGUUUCCAAUUCCUCUUUUACAGUCGUAUAGUGUUCCAUUUUAUAGAACUACAAGGAUUUAUUUAACCUGCCUCCUUAAAAUGGACAUCUAGAUUGUUUCUCAUCUUUUGCUAUUACCAACACUACAUUACAGAAUGACAUUGUAUUCAUAUCAUUUUGUACAUGUGUGAGUAGGAGAAAUUUUAGAAGCGGAAUUGCUGUGUCAAAAGAGGCUACUUAUAAUGAGAAGAAGGUGGAGUCUGCUUUUGACCAAAUGAAAUGCCUGGCUCCAAGGGCAGGACAGCAUAUCUCAGAGUGGGCUCGGGAACUACUCAGUCAGUAUGGCCAUAAAGCAAGUUCUCCAGGCCCCGUCCCAGGCCUGAGGAAUUAGAAUCGCAAGAAGUUAGGCUCCAGAAACAUGCUUUUAAACCAAAAAAGUUCUUCAGGUGAAUGUUAUGCUUACUGACAUGUAACAGCUCUGCUUCUAAAAGCACCGUUCUGAUGAACCAGAAGUGGCUCAUAGCUUCUUGAGCCAUGGACCAUCAACUGUAACAUGAAAAAGUUACCGUGUGGAGAGGAAAGAAUCCUUCACCUUUGAUUUGCCUUUCUAGGUCUUUCAAUCUCCCUUUAAUCCACUCGAUGGCUAGUUUUUCAAGAUAAAUGGAAACUUUAUUCAGUUUGUUGUUGCUUUUAAGUCCUUGGCCACUAGGAGAGUCCAUGAAGGGCAGAUAUCUUGUGAUAGAAGGAGUGAGCACUGAAAAUGCGUCCGCAUAACAGAUUCGUGACGUGCAGAUCCUGAAUGGAGUAGGGUGGGUGGGGUAAGUAGAGGGAGAGAACCAAGUGUUUUUCUAGGCAGUUAUUCAACCAAACCAUUACUUCAAAUAUCCAGACGUCAUUUUAAAGCCUGGUCUGACUGUUGCCUCAGGACCCAGUUUCUUAGCUUUGAGUGAAUGAAUUGAGGACAGAGAAUCUGUUACGAGUGACAGCUGCCUAUUACUAAAAGCCUUAGGAAGACCUGACAGCAUCAAAACCUCUUCACCUGAGCUGAUCUUGGAGGCAAGGUCACCGCAGCAUUACUGCCACGCAGGAGCUUUCCUGUGGGCUCCUGAAUGCAGCCCAGGACGGUGACUGAGCAGUGGCUGUGUGGUGCCCCAGGGACACUGAACACUAGGCUUUGGGGGUACAAUCUUCAGCAGAGGUCCUCCACCUUGUUCACUUUUGGCACCAAAACAGUGAAGCACAUUUGCACAGGGACGAUGAGGGCUCAGACACUAUCAGUAGGGACCAGCAUGGAUGGAAGACCACAGGGUGGACCACAGGAAGACCAUACUGUCCUCAGUGUUCAGGACUUCAAAGAUUGUAUAAUGGAAGCUGCUUUUAGUUAGUGAGAAACAGAAUACCCAAUUAGAACAGCCUUGAAUAUCAAGGGUUCAUCGUGGUACACAUCAAGAGGUUCCAGAGAGAUAACCUCAGCAACAUAACGCUGUCAGAAGGCCACGGCUCUUGGUGAUGCUCUCUCUUCCCCUCAUAACAACAAGACGGCUGCCGCUGCAGGUCCAAGCAUCAUGCCUCACAUGGAUGUGCUCAAGAGGCAGGAAAGAAUGGAGUUUUGCCUCACAUGCCUUUGUUUUAAUUAAAUAGGAAAUUCCCUUCUCACACUCUCCUCCUGAGGUAGGAGAUGAGGCUUGGACACUGGACCAAAUUGAGGACGAGCUAAAACAAGGACAAGGCAGAAGCAGCUUUCCGUAAGACAGCCCACCAGCAUGCCAUCUAAGUUUACCAUCACCAUGGCAACAACAGGGAAUUACCACUUCUUUCCAUGCCAAUGGCCUGAUGGUCCAAAAGUUAGCACCCCUUCCCUGGAAAUUUCUGCAUAAACCACCCCUUAGUCUACAUGUAAUUAAAAGCAAGUAUAAAUAUGACUGUAAGACUACACUGAGCUGCUACUCUGGACACACUGCCUAUAGGAUAACCCUGCUCUGCAGGGGCAGUCACAUAGCUAUGACGCCACCACUUCAACAAAGCUGUUUUCUUCUACCCUACCACCGGCUCACCCUUGACUUCUCUCCUGAGCAAAGCCAAGAACUCUUGUAGGCUAAGCUCCACUUGGGGACUCACUUGCCCUGCGUCACUCUCACCCUAUGGAAGAUCCCAGAAAUCCACAGUCACAUACCCAUCCCACACUCCAGGUGAAAGGAAGGGUAGGUUUGCUGCACAGUCUCAGCUUAAACUAACCACGUUCCAUUUGCCUGGGCUUGGGGAAGGACCCACCUUCCCUGAGUAUGUUGCUGUCCCACAGUUGAAUAAAAUCAGGAUUUCAGCAGCAAAACAGAAAAGUUCAAUGACUUCUAAACAGGCCAUGGAAGAUGGACAAGAACCUGCCAAAAGGAUCUAGCAUUAUCUUUGAGACAAUUGCUAAACUGGCAAGCCCGUCACCAUACCUGUUGAUCUGGUUUAUGAUUCAUGCCUUAAAAAACCCUAGAGUUGUGAUGGUUCCUCUUCCUGUUUUUCAUACCCAGAAAGCUAUCACUUCUCCUUGCUGCCACCAUGUGAAGAAGAACAUAUUUGUUUCCCCUCCCUCCAUGACUGGGCAGUGGAGAAGAAGGGUCUAUGGCAGGGAAACCCUUCUGAACAUAGAACUUGGAGACUGGCCAGGGCUUAAGUUCUGCAUCUACUACUGACCUAGGAAGGUCAAGAAAUGAUUCUGUCCCUGGAAACAAGAGCAAUGUUUAUAGAAGAGUCAACUCAGAGACCUUGUGCCGGUCCAAGAGGACUAUCUCAUCCUGCUCCCCUGCAGGCACUAAAUGAGACAAAAUUCCUUCUGGAGUUCAAGUCCAGAAGGCUGACUAUGCUGUUAAUGGCGGUAUACUGAGUUAAGAGAAGUCGGGGAGAUGGGAAUCUUGGGUUCACGAUUCUGCCUGGAGGGAAGAAUUGUGGUCUCCUCCGUCCCGUCGGUAGGGGUCCGGGCUGAUGAUAGCGCCUCCUGGUGCAGAGUAUACAAACAGCUGAAGAUCUGCCUAGAUCCCGUACCCCUCUAUUUUUUCCUUGUGGGAACUCUGUAUAACUUGGAAAGAGCGAGGACAUCCUGGCUCGCAGCUGGCCAGCUCCACCUGCGACCUGGACACCCCCGCCCCUCCCUGCGGAGCCCGGCGAGUUCACAGGGCUGCCUCCGCUUCUCCCAGCGUGUCUGCUCUCCUGGCCUGGCCUCCAGACCUUUUCUCCACGGGCAGCGAUUUCCAAGGCUCUCUCAAGACUCCAAAUCACGUUGUUUGGGAGUGAAAAAGUGAAAGCACACAUCGUGUCAUUAGAGCAGCAGGGACCAGCUGCUGGGUCAACACUUCCGAAAACAGCGCUUCCUGGGGAGCGACCGGGGCAUCUCAGAAUCUACGGUUUGACCUCCUGCCAAUUCUCAUGGUGUCUUUAUACAUUUUAACACAAAAAUAAGAUGUUUUCACUUGAGAGCGAGAGGGAAAUGAACUGUUAAGGUGUUCUGUCGCCAGAGAAGUGAAGUUGGGGGGUAAAUUUUAGGAACUCCCGACCCCCUACCGAGGGAGGAUGAGAACUCUGCGCCUGAAACGCGAGCGAAAUCCCCGCGCGCUUCCCGGGGUGACGCACAUGUCUGUGUUUCUUUUUGCUUUUGACCAAAAGUCGUAGGAAGGGGCCUCCUCAGGGGACAGUCGGGGGCGCUGUGCCAAUCGUUCCUGUCCCCCGACCCAAGUCAACCGCAGGCCCAGGCCAAGGCCGCCCCGGCCGGAAGGGCCAGCUGGUGGGGGCCGUGGGGGGCUUGGGACGGCGGGUCCGCCUACCCCGCCUUCCUGAAGUGGAGAGUUUCGGCCCCAGCCUAGCUGGCGUGGACUCUGCCUGAACCACGCCUGGGAUGCUUUUGC